AGGGCACCAGUUAAACUUUAGAAGAUCAAAUUAAACAGAAGAAACAAUAAAAUGAUCAAAAGAGCAAAAACAGAUAAAGUGUUUUCUAGUCUGAAAUGAAAACAUCAAGUUGUUUCUUCAAACAUUUCCUCUUUCUAUGUUCUUGGUUUGAUUAUGGACAGAUUUACUAAGAACUCAUUUGAGAAAACUGCUUUCCAGAUAAAGUCUACUAGUAGUUGAAGGCAUUUAUCAAACUAAUGUUACCUUCUGAUCUCCACAAACUUUACUGUUCAGUGAAGAGAAUCAAAGUUUGUUGAGGAUUUCUAAAAAACCCACAGGUGAAGGUCUGAGAAGAACUCAGAUGGAUGGUCUAAAUGUGAAAUCAAGACUCAUGGUCACAAGUUUUAAGGCUUCUGUUAACCAUAAAGUUCAAACUAACAGAGAAGUACUGAGAAACUUUUAAAAUUUCAGUCCUCAGACUGUCUGAAGGUUCAAACUAACAGAGAUCUACUCAGGAACUUAGAAGAUAUCAGUCCUCAGACUGUCUGAAGGUUCAAACUAACAGAGAACUACUCA
ensembl:lncRNA